GCCUGACAGGGUCGCAGCGCGUCCUUGGAGCUGUCAGACACCGCCCCUUGUUGGGAGCUGUGGAGAUGGCUUCUUUGUGUGGAGAAACAACGGGGUCCGCUACUCUACAAAGUGAAGAGCAAAACCCGACCCCACCCUCUGCACCCUGUGACAGCGGCGGGGGUGUGAGUUCAGCUGGGGUACCAGAUGUUGAAGAACUGCCGGGUGCUAGCAAUGAUACCACGCUACAAAUGACCCGGGUGUGCCAUCGUCUGAAGAAUGAAGAAUUUUGAAUGUAUACAUCUGAAUUCUUACUAAGAGUGCUUUACAC